CGUAGGGUGCGAGCGUUGUCCGGAAUUAUUGGGCGUAAAGAGCUCGUAGGCGGUUUGUCGCGUCGGCUGUGAAAUCCCGAGGCUCAACCUCGGGUCUGCAGUCGAUACGGGCGGACUGGAGUUCGGCAGGGGAGACUGGAAUUCCUGGUGUAGCGGUGAAAUGCGCAGAUAUCAGGAGGAACACCGGUGGCGAAGGCGGGUCUCUGGGCCGAUACUGACGCUGAGGAGCGAAAGCGUGGGGAGCGAACAGG
rnacentral:rRNA from 1 species